UACGUAGGGUGCGAGCGUUGUCCGGAAUUAUUGGGCGUAAAGGGCUCGUAGGCGGUUUGUUGCGUCUGCUGUGAAAGCCCGGGGCUUAACCCCGGGUCUGCAGUGGAUACGGGCAGGCUAGAGUCCGGCAGGGGAGACUGGAAUUCCUGGUGUAGCGGUGGAAUGCGCAGAUAUCAGGAGGAACACCGGUGGCGAAGGCGGGUCUCUGGGCCGGUACUGACGCUGAGGAGCGAAAGCGUGGGGAGCGAACAGG
rnacentral:rRNA from 1 species